rnacentral:rRNA from 1 species
GCGACCCCAGGAUGGGCGAGGCCACCCGCCGAGUUUAAGC